AUUGAACGCUGGCGGCAGGCCUAACACAUGCAAGUCGAGCGAGCGGCGGACGGGUGAGUAAUGUCUGGGAAACUGCCUGAUGGAGGGGGAUAACUACUGGAAACGGUAGCUAAUACCGCAUACCAUCAGAUGUGCCCAGAUGGGAUUAGCUAGUAGGUGGGGUAACGGGUCACCUAGGCGACGAUCCCUAGCUGGUUUGAGAGGAUGACCAGCAAAACUGGAACUGAGACAGGGUCAAGACUCCUAGGGGAGGCAGCAGUGGGGAAUAUUGCACAAUGGGCGGAAGCCUGAUGCAGCCAGGCCGCGUGUGUGAAGAAGGCCUUGGGGUUGUAAAGCACUUUCAGCGGGGAGGCGUUACCCGCAGAAGAAGCACCGGCUAACUCCGUGCCAGCAGCCGCGUAAUUC
rnacentral:rRNA from 1 species